rnacentral:rRNA from 1 species
UACGGAGGGUGCGAGCGUUGUCCGGAAUCAUUGGGCGUAAAGGGCGCGUAGGUGGCCCGGUCAGUCUUUGGUGAAAGCGCGGGGCUCAACCCUGCGUCGGCCAGGGAUACUGCCGCGGCUCGAGCACUGUAGAGGCAGGCGGAAUUCCGGGUGUAGCGGUGGAAUGCGUAGAGAUCCGGAAGAACACCGGAGGCGAAGGCGGCUUGCUGGGCAUUGUCUGACGCUGAGGCGCGAAAGCGUGGGGAGCGAACAGG